rnacentral:tRNA from 1 species
GCCGCGUUGGUCAAUCGGUUUAAGACGCCACCCUUUCACGGUGGAAUGACGGGUUCGACUCCCGUACGCGGUACAA